AUUGAACGCUGGCGGCAGGCUUAACACAUGCAAGUCGAGCGGGGAAAUGUAGCUUGCUACAUUACCUAGCGGCGGACGGGUGAGUAAUGCUUAGGAAUCUGCCUAUUAGUGGGGGACAACAUUUCGAAAGGAAUGCUAAUACCGCAUACGCCCUACGGGGGAAAGCAGGGGAUCUUCGGACCUUGCGCUAAUAGAUGAGCCUAAGUCGGAUUAGCUAGUUGGUGGGGUAAAGGCCUACCAAGGCGACGAUCUGUAGCGGGUCUGAGAGGAUGAUCCGCCACACUGGGACUGAGACACGGCCCAGACUCCUACGGGAGGCAGCAGUGGGGAAUAUUGGACAAUGGGGGGAACCCUGAUCCAGCCAUGCCGCGUGUGUGAAGAAGGCCUUUUGGUUGUAAAGCACUUUAAGCGAGGAGGAGGCUACCUAGAUUAAUACUCUGGGAUAGUGGACGUUACUCGCAGAAUAAGCACCGGCUAACUCUGUGCCAGCAGCCGCGGUAAUACAGAGGGUGCAAGCGUUAAUCGGAUUUACUGGGCGUAAAGCGUGCGUAGGUGGCCAAUUAAGUCAAAUGUGAAAUCCCCGAGCUUAACUUGGGAAUUGCAUUCGAUACUGGUUGGCUAGAGUAUGGGAGAGGAUGGUAGAAUUCCAGGUGUAGCGGUGAAAUGCGUAGAGAUCUGGAGGAAUACCGAUGGCGAAGGCAGCCAUCUGGCCUAAUACUGACACUGAGGUACGAAAGCAUGGGGAGCAAACAGGAUUAGAUACCCUGGUAGUCCAUGCCGUAAACGAUGUCUACUAGCCGUUGGGGUCUUUGAGACUUUAGUGGCGCAGCUAACGCGAUAAGUAGACCGCCUGGGGAGUACGGUCGCAGACUAAAACUCA
rnacentral:rRNA from 1 species